rnacentral:rRNA from 1 species
UACGAAGGGUGCAAGCGUUACUCGGAAUUACUGGGCGUAAAGCGUGCGUAGGUGGUGAGUUAAGUCUGUCGUGAAAGCCCCGGGCUCAACCUGGGAAUGGCGAUGGAUACUGGCUCGCUUGAGUGCGGUAGAGGGUGGUGGAAUUCCCGGUGUAGCAGUGAAAUGCGUAGAGAUCGGGAGGAACAUCAGUUGCGAAGGCGGCCACCUGGACCAGCACUGACACUGAGGCACGAAAGCGUGGGGAGCAAACAGG